ACAGUGUCAGGCGGGCAGUUUGACUGGGGCGGUCGCCUCCUAAAAGGUAACGGAGGCGCUCAAAGGUUCCCUCAGAAUGGUUGGAAAUCAUUCAUAGAGUGUAAAGGCAUAAGGGAGCUUGACUGCGAGACCUACAAGUCGAGCAGGGUCGAAAGACGGACUUAGUGAUCCGGUGGUUCCGCAUGGAAGGGCCAUCGCUCAACGGAUAAAAGCUACCCCGGGGAUAACAGGCUUAUCUCCCCCAAGAGUUCACAUCGACGGGGAGGUUUGGCACCUCGAUGUCGGCU
rnacentral:rRNA from 1 species